rnacentral:tRNA from 1 species
AAAGAUUUAGUUAAUAUUUAUAAUAUCGGAAUGUCAAACCUAAGUUAUCAGUUCAGAUAAUCUUUG